UCCGAUGUAGUGUAACGGUUAUCAUUCCGCGUUUUCAUCAGAAACAAGGACCGCGGCGACCGGGGUUCGAUUCCCCGCAUCGGAG